AAAUUUACUAUAAUGGUAGCAGUCAUUAUCAUCUGUGCUUGGCUAAUCCUUCAUAUUCACCUUCGCAUGCAUUUUGAUUGGGGAGCCUCCCCAGAUACAGGUGAUGUAAGAUGAGCCAUUGGACACGUGAGCCUGAUGCCAUCCCAGACACCUGCUGUGCCCCAAAUGCGCUGGGCCAACUGGGUAUAUGUACGCAGGGCGAAGGUAGGUUCCUCUCCAAGAAGGCUCAACUACAGGGUUUCCAGGAGCCUUGAACAGAGCACAGGUGAAGAGAGGAUGGGUUAUGCAGGCGCCGGCCACACAGCUGUUCCCAGGGACCCUUUAGGAGCGCUUGUACCGGCCACAGGAAACAGCAAAGGAGCGGCAGCUGAAUCAGGAAAAGGGGAGCAAACUGAAAUUUAGCAGCAUUUUGAAGGCAGCCGUGGACCAGCACUGUCUGCCCCACUGUUCUUCAGCAGACACAGGCAUUAAUCCAGACCCUGAGAUUGCCAUCCUGUGAGAACACACAAAGGAAGACAUUCAGUGAAGAUGCACCCUCUUCCAGAGGUGCCCCAAAAGGGCAGACCAUGGCAGCCUCAUCUUUCUGGUUUUGAACUAGGUCCCUCUACUUGAGGGAAGUGCAAUGGAAUAGAGACAGCACCUCCCUGGGCAGCAGGGAAGCUGGCUCUAAGCCCCACGCUGGUGCCAAGACCAGCUGCCUACCUGAUGCCCCUAAUCUUCGGUUCCCUCCUCCGUGAAUUGCCGGCAUUAACUCUCCUGAAUGCUGCACCACAGGCUGCAGCUAAGCACUCUGUGAGUUUCAAGGAGAACUCAGGGGUGAGGGGGUCCUUUCUCCUUGACAGAAUCUGCAGACUGUGGUCACAGUUUCCUAGCAACCAUCUCCAUCAGGUGGGAGUCACAACAACACACAUAUCAGGCGGAAGAGUGGAUUUUCCUUUCUCAUUUUCCUAUGGUUGGUCUUAAUAAAGAGGGAAACCAAAGAACGCAUGGGAGUUUUCCUGAGGUAUUUCUUCUGCUGAUGAAGACGUGGCUUUCCUGUGUCCCCUCAUGCACCUCUUGGGACACGUAGAUUAAGAAGUGGAAGACAUGGACUUUCCGGGCCCUGGGGUCACCCUGCAGGAGAUGCCUUCAUACCCUGUUUUACAUUCCUCUUGUGUCCACCAGGCCCAAUCCUAUUCAGUGCUGCUUGGGUCACCUCAGAUUAAGUCACUGGUACAAAUAGAAUUUUGUCCCCCCAAAAUUCAUAUGUUGAAGCCCUAACCCGCAAUGUGAUGUUAGUUAGAGGCAGGGCUUUGGGAGGAUCAUUAGGUUGAGGUGAGGUUAUGAGGGUAAGGUUCCCAUGAUGGGAUUAGUGCCCUUAUGAGAAAAAGCUCUCUCCAUCUCUUUCUCUUCCUCUCUCUCUCUUUCUCUGCAGAUGCACCAAGCAAAGUUCAUGUGAACACACACAAUAUGAUGUCUGUUUACGAGACAGGAAGAGAUGCUUCGCCAGAGUGUGACCUUGCUGACACCAUGAUCUUGGACUUCCAGUCUCCAGAACUGUGAGCAAAUACAUUUCUGUUGCUUACGCCAACAGAAGUGUGGAAUUUUACUAUGGCAGCCCUAGCUGACUGAGACAGUCACCAUUCUCUUUGAAACUAGAUGCCACCAAUGUGAAAUUCCUUGUGUUUUCCUGUGAAGUCUCCACAUGUGCAUGCCGAGUUCCUGAGAACAGACCCUGUCUUAUAUGUGGCUCUAGUCACAGGCAAUCCUGAGUACCUGUUCUGUGUUAGCCACUGUGCUAGAGGGUACUGAGAUGCAUCCUGCCUCACAGAAUCCAGAGGAGAUAGCUGUGCAUACUAAGAACUAGAAUGAUAUACAGAAUGCCAGGCAACCUCCACUAUAUAUGGUGUGAAGGGCCUGAUUCUUAGAACUUCUUUAUCAGGUUUGCUUUACUGAUUGUAAAACAAUCUAGAAUAUCAGUGUAGAAAGUAAAAAAAAAAAAAGAAAAAGAAAAAGAGUUUAGAGGAAUAGAAUUUGCCCAAGACAUAAUUAGAGGACACAGUCUCCAAGACCUCUCUUACUUCUGACAUGAACCUCAAGGUUGGGGAGGGAUCCACAAACUACGCUCAGUUUUGAAAAUUUGCUAGAAGGGCUCACAGAACAGUUACACCCAUGGCUUUGGUUUAUUGCAGGGAAAGGAUACAGAUUAAAAUCAGCCAGAGGAAGAGAUGCUUAGGGCAGAGUCUGAGAGGGUUUCAAACAGAAGCUUCCAUGGCCCUCUCCCUUUGAAGUGAGUUCACCUCACCCUCCUGGCAUCGAUGUGUGGUGAUAGGCAAGGAGUGCUGUCAGCCAGGAAAGCUCUCCUGAGUGUCUCUAUUCAGUCUUCCUGGAGCUCUAGUCUGUAGGAUUGAAUGAACCACUUGAGGUGGUGAUUGUUUCGUCCCUGAAUCACUGGCUCUGGAUGACUCUUAUCAAAAUUGAUGAAGGGGACCGUAGGGGGUUGGGGAAUUUUUGUAAUAAGCUGGAGGCAGGAAUAAAUUGCCAUUUAAGCCUCACUCCCAGGCUGAGUCAAGAAAAGUUAUUUUCAAGUGUGUAUCUAUGCUAGGCUGUAGAGUAAAUUCAAUAGGCCAGAGAAAGAACAAUUAUUUCUUAGAAGUCAAGUAUUCAUGAAGUAGGCAUAAAAUAAAACUAUUCAAC
rnacentral:lncRNA from 10 species